rnacentral:rRNA from 1 species
GUUAUAUGGUCAAGUGAAGAAGCGCAUACGGUGGAUGCCUUGGCAGUCAGAGGCGAUGAAAGACGUGGUAGCCUGCGAAAAGCUUUGGGGAGUCGGCAAACAGACUGUGAUCCAGAGAUCUCUGAAUGGGGGAACCCAGCCAGCAUAAGCUGGUUAUCUUGUACUGAAUACAUAGGUGCAAGAGGCGAACCAGGGGAACUGAAACAUCUAAGUACCCUGAGGAAAAGAAAUCAACCGAGAUUCCCUUAGUAGUGGCGAGCGAACGGGGACCAGCCCUUAAGUUGGUUUGAGAUUAGUGGAACGCUUUGGAAAGUGCGGCCAUAGUGGGUGAUAGCCCCGUACACGAAAAUCUCUUAUCAAUGAAAUCGAGUAGGACGGAGCACGAGAAACUUUGUCUGAAUAUGGGGGGACCAUCCUCCAAGGCUAAAUACUACUGACUGACCGAUAGUGAACUAGUACCGUGAGGGAAAGGCGAAAAGAACCCCGGAGAGGGGAGUGAAAUAGAUCCUGAAACCGUAUGCGUACAAGCAGUGGGAGCCUACUUUGUUAGGUGACUGCGUACCUUUUGUAUAAUGGGUCAGCGACUUAUAUUCAGUGGCGAGCUUAACCGAAUAGGGGAGGCGUAGCGAAAGCGAGUCUUAAUAGGGCGUUUAGUCGCUGGGUAUAGACCCGAAACCGGGCGAUCUAUCCAUGGGCAGGUUGAAGGUUAGGUAACACUGACUGGAGGACCGAACCGACUACCGUUGAAAAGUUAGCGGAUGACCUGUGGAUCGGAGUGAAAGGCUAAUCAAGCUCGGAGAUAGCUGGUUCUCCUCGAAAGCUAUUUAGGUAGCGCCUCAUGUAUCACUGUAGGGGGUAGAGCACUGUUUCGGCUAGGGGGUCAUCCCGACUUACCAAACCGAUGCAAACUCCGAAUACCUACAAGUGCCGAGCAUGGGAGACACACGGCGGGUGCUAACGUCCGUCGUGAAAAGGGAAACAACCCAGACCGUCAGCUAAGGUCCCAAAGUCAUGGUUAAGUGGGAAACGAUGUGGGAAGGCUUAGACAGCUAGGAGGUUGGCUUAGAAGCAGCCACCCUUUAAAGAAAGCGUAAUAGCUCACUAGUCGAGUCGGCCUGCGCGGAAGAUGUAACGGGGCUCAAACCAUGCACCGAAGCUACGGGUAUCAUCUUAUGAUGAUGCGGUAGAGGAGCGUUCUGUAAGCCUGUGAAGGUGAGUUGAGAAGCUUGCUGGAGGUAUCAGAAGUGCGAAUGCUGACAUGAGUAACGACAAUGCG